rnacentral:rRNA from 31 species
GUGGGUUGCAAAAGAAGUAGGUAGCUUAACCUUCGGGAGGGCGCUUACCACUUUGUGAUUCAUGACUGGGGUGAAGUCGUAACAAGGUAACCGUAGGGGAACCUGCGGUUGGAUCACCUCCUUACCUUAAAGAA